rfam:Aliiroseovarius crassostreae strain CV919-312 Joined_contig_7, whole genome shotgun sequence.
GCGUCAGACGCGAAACUGCCGGACAUGCAGGCCGGCUGGGAACAGAUGUGUUCCAAUGUCACCGCCGGGCUGGCCGGGGUGAACAUGAUCUAUGAAGCGG